UACAGAGGGUGCGAGCGUUGUCCGGAAUCACUGGGCGUAAGGGGCGCGUAGGCGGCUUGAUAAGCGUGCGGUGAAAGCCCGGGGCUCAACCCCGGGUCGGCCGUGCGAACUGUCGAGCUGGAGCACUGUAGAGGCAGGUGGAAUUCCGGGUGUAGCGGUGGAAUGCGUAGAGAUCCGGAAGAACACCGGUGGCGAAGGCGGCCUGCUGGGCAGUGGCUGACGCUGAGGCGCGACAGCGUGGGGAGCAAACAGG
rnacentral:rRNA from 1 species